rnacentral:rRNA from 1 species
GAUGAACGCUAGCUACAGGCUUAACACAUGCAAGUCGAGGGACCGGCGCACGGGGGAGUAACACGUAUCCAACCUGCCCUUUACUCGGGGAUAGCCUUUCGAAAGAAAGAUUAAUACCCGAUAUAAAGGAUGGGGAUGCGUUCCAUUAGGUGGUUGGUGAGUUAACGGCUCACCAAGCCUUCGAUGGAUAGGGGUUCUGCGAGGAACGGGCCCAAGAUGGGGACUGAGAAAAGGUCCAAAGUCGUACGGGAGGAAGCAGUGAGGAAUAUUGGUGAGUGGGAGCUAGCCUGACGCAGCAAAGUAGGGUGAAGGAUGAAGGCUUAUGGGUCGUAAACUUCUUUUAGAAAAGAAUAUGUAUUAUAUGAAUAAGGAUCGGCUAACUCCGUGCCAGCAGCCGCGGUAAUUC